rfam:Trichobilharzia regenti genome assembly, scaffold: TRE_scaffold0027672
AUCCAGAUGAUGAGUCCCAAAUAGGAUGAAAUGUGCAUCCUGGAU